UAGUCCACGCCGUAAACUAUGGACACUUGGUGUCGGAGGUAUUGACCCCUUCGGUGCCGUAGCUAACGCGUUAAGUGUCCCGCCUGGGGAGUACGGUCGCAAGAUUAAAACUCAAAGAAAUUGACGGGGGCCCGCACAAGCGGUGGAGCAUGUGGUUUAAUUCGACGCAACGCGAAAUACCUUACCUGGGUUUGAAUUGCAACGGACAACUCUAGAGAUAGAGUCUUUCUUCGGAAUCGUUGUGAAGGUGCUGCAUGGCUGUCGUCAGCUCGUGUCGUGAGAUGUUGGGUUAAGUCCCGCAACGAGCGCAACCCUUGCCAUUAGUUGCCAGCAUUUAGUUGGGCACUCUAGUGGGACUGCCGACGUUAAGUCGGAGGAAGGUGGGGAUGACGUCAAGUCCUCAUGGCCCUUAUGUCCAGGGCUACACACGUGCUACAAUGGGAAAUACAAAGGGUUGCCAAGCCGCAAGGUGGAGCUAAUCCCAAAAAUUUCUCUAAGUUCGGAUUGAGGUCUGCAACUCGACCU
rnacentral:rRNA from 1 species